GCCAAUGCUACACUUCCUUAGCUAGGAGCUAGCAAUGCUACGUGGAAUUGCAUGUCGGUAUCUUCUGAGAGGUUGUUCUCUCUCCACUUCUCAUUCAAGUCUGAAGAUGCUUACAGUCACCUGCAGUACUUCUAAAUCAGAGUUUUGAGAUGGAAGAGGUCACAGCUCCAAUGAUCUCAGCCGAAGAAGAUGAGGAAGAAGACCAGCACAAGUGAGUCUCUCUCAAAUCAGCUUUUGCUGGUAUCAGGAUUUCUCUGGAGGACUCAACAAAGUCCUCUCCAUGCCUGAGAUUCCUACAAUGAUUGAAAUUCCAUUGUUUCUUCCCCGUGGAAUAACCAUAAGCUUCCUGAGGGAGUGCACCUCAGAGAGGCCUCGCCUGGGACUUGAAACAUCCAGCCCACUGUACGCUGUGGCAUUUGGACAGGUUCUUGCCUCGAGUUCCUGCUCUGCCUUCAUUUCACUAUACCUAGAAGCUGAAAUAAACUAUUUCCUCCACAA
rnacentral:lncRNA from 1 species